AGCGAACGCUGGCGGCAGGCCUAACACAUGCAAGUCGAACGAAGCCUUCGGGCUUAGUGGCGGACGGGUGAGUAACACGUGGGAACGUACCUUUUGGUUCGGAAUAACGCAGAGAAAUUUGCGCUAAUACCGAAUGAGCCCUUCGGGGGAAAGAUUUAUCGCCGAAAGAUCAGCCCGCGUUGGAUUAGGUAGUUGGUGUGGUAAAGGCGCAACAAGCCUACGAUCCAUAGCUGGUCUGAGAGGAUGAUCAGCCACACUGGGACUGAGACACGGCCCAGACUCCUACGGGAGGCAGCAGUGGGGAAUCUUGCGCAAUGGGCGAAAGCCUGACGCAGCCAUGCCGCGUGAAUGAUGAAGGUCUUAGGAUUGUAAAAUUCUUUUACCAGGGACGAUAAUGACGGUACCUGGAGAAAAAGCCCCGGCUAACUUCGUGCCAGCCGCCGCGGUAAGAC
rnacentral:rRNA from 1 species